UACGUAGGCGGCAAGCGUUAUCCGGAAUUAUUGGGCGUAAAGAGCGCGCAGGUGGUUGAUUAAGUCUGAUGUGAAAGCCCACGGCUCAACCGUGGAAGGUCAUUGGAAACUGGGUCACUUGAAUAUAGAAGAGGAAAGUGGAAUUCCAUGUGUAGCGGUGAAAUGCGUAGAUAUAUGGAGGAACACCAGUGGCGAAGGCGACUUUCUGGCCUAUUAUUGACGCUGAGGCUCGAAAGCAUGGGUAGCAAACAGGAUUAGA
rnacentral:rRNA from 1 species